GGAGGAUGCAGAUGAAGAGACGGAGGAUGCAGGAUGGAAAGACGAGGAGGAUGCAGAUAGAAAGACAAGGAGGAUGCAGAUGGAAAGAAGAGGAGGAUGCAAAUGGAAAGACGAAGGAUGCAGAUGGAAAGACGAGAAGGAUGCAGAUGGAAAGACGAGAAGGAUGCAGAUGGAAAGACGAGAAGGAUGCAGAUGGAAAGACGAGAAAGAUACAGAUGGAAAGACGAGAAGAUGCAGAUGGAAAGACAAGGAAGAUGGGAUGGAGACGAGAAGGAUGCACAUGAAGAGACGAGAAGGAUUCAGAUGGAAAGGCGAGAAAGGAUGCAGAUGGAAAGAAGAGGAGGAUGCAGAUGGAAAGAA